rnacentral:rRNA from 1 species
AAAGGGGUGCUAAUACCGGAUAAGCCCACGGGAUCCUCGGAUUYUGCGGGAAAAGGUGGCCUCUAUUUAUAAGCUACCGUAUCAGGAUGGGUCCGCGUACCAUUAGCUAGUUGGUGGGGUAAUGGCCUACCAAGGCGACGAUGGUUAGCUGGUYUGAGAGGAUGAUCAGCCACACYGGAACUGAGACACGGUCCAGACUCCUACGGGAGGCAGCAGUGGGGAAUUUUGCGCAAUGGGGGAAACCCUGACGCAGCAACGCCGCGUGAGUGAUGAAGGCUUUCGGGUCGUAAAGCUCUGUCAGAGGGGAAGAAAUGAGACUGGMUAAUAUCCAGUUUUCUUGACGGUACCCUCAAAKGAAGCACCGGCUAACUCCGUGCCAGCAGCCSCGGKWAUWCAWGGG